GAUGAACGCUGGCGGCGUGCCUAACACAUGCAAGUCGAGCGAAUGGACGACAAUCUGGCUUCUCUGAUGUUACCGGCGGACGGGUGAGUAACACGUGGAUAACCUACCUAUUAGACUGGGAUAACUUCGGGAAACCGUAGCUCAUACCAGAUAAUAUUUUGAACCUCAUGGUUCAAAAGAGAAAGACGGUCUUGCUGUCACUCAUAGAUGGAUCCGCGCUGCUUGAGAGAGUUGGUAAGGUAACGGCUUACCAAGGCAGCGAUGCGUAGCCGACGUGAAAGGGGGAUCGCCGAGACGGGAGCUGAGACACGGUGCAGACGCCUGAGGGAGGGAGCAGACGGGAACGUGCGGCAGUGGGCGAAAGCCUGACGCAGCAAGGCAGAGUGUGUGGUGAAGGUGUUGGGAGCGUAAAGCUGUGUUAUGGGGGAAGAACCGAUGUGUGCGUAGAUGUGGAGAUAGUGACGGUACCUAAAGAAAAAGCCACGGCUAACUACGUG
rnacentral:rRNA from 1 species